CGAGGAAUCUUGCGCAAUGGGCGAAAGCCUGACGCAGCAACGCCGCGUGGGUGAAGAAGGCCUUCGGGUUGUAAAUCCCUUUUGCCGGGGAAGAAGUUCUGACGGUACCCGGCGAAUAAGCCACGGCUAACUACGUGCCAGCAGCCGCGGUAAGACGUAGGUGGCGAGCGUUAUCCGGAUUUACUGGGCGUAAAGCGUACGUAGGCGGCGCCGGAAGUCUGCCGUGAAAUCUCCCGGCUCAACCGGGAGCGGUCGGUGGAAACUCCGAUGCUCGAGGGGCGUAGAGGCAAGCGGAAUUCCCGGAGUAGUGGUGGAAUGCGUAGAUACCGGGAGGAACACCAGUGGCGAAAGCGGCUUGCCAGGCGCAUCCUGACGCUGAGGUACGAAAGCGUGGGGAGCGAACCGGAUUAGAUACCCCCGUAGUCC
rnacentral:rRNA from 1 species